rnacentral:rRNA from 1 species
GAACUGCGAAUGGCUCAUUAUAUAAGUUAUCGUUUAUUUGAUAGUGCCUAUCCUACACGGAUAACAGUGGUAAUUCUAGAGCUAAUACGUGCCAAAUGCCCCGACUUCGGAAGGGGCGUGCUUGUCAGAAUCAGAACCAAUGCCCUUGUGGCUCACUGGUGGCUCAUGACAAUCCCACAGAUCGCAUGGCCUUGCGCCGGCGAUGGCUCAUUCAAAUUUCUUCCCUAUCAACUUUCGACGGUACGGUCUUGGCCUACCGUGGUUACAACGGGUAACGGAGGGUUAGGGCUCGACCCCGGAGAGGGAGCCUGAGAGACGGCUACCACAUCCAAGGAAGGCAGCAGCCGCGCAAAUUAUCCAAUCCCGACACGGGGAGAUAGUGACAAUAAAUACCGAUACAGGGCUCUUUUGGGCCCCGUAAUUGGAAUGAGUACAAUUUAAACCUCUUAACGAGGAACAAUUGGAGGGCAAGUCUGGUGCCAGCAGCCGCGGUAAUUCCAGCUCCAAUAGCGUAUAUUAAAGUUGUUGUGGUUAAAAAGCUCGUAGUCGAACCUCGGGCUCGGCCGGCCGGUCCGCCUCACCGCGUGCACUGGCCCGGCCGGGCUCUUCCCUCUGAGGAGCCGCAUGCCCUUUACUGGGCGUGCCGGGGAAUCAGGACUUUUACUUUGAAAAAAUUAGAGUGCUCAAGGCAGGCCAAUGCUCGGAUACAUUAGCAUGGAAUAAUAGAAUAGGACGUUGGUUCUAUUUUGUUGGUUUCUAGGACCGCCGUAAUGAUCAAUAGGGACGGUCGGGGGCAUCAGUAUUCAGCCGCGAGAGGUGAAAUUCUUAGACCGGCUGAAGACUAACUACUGCGAAAGCAUUUGCCAAGGACGUUUUCGCUGAUCAGGAACGAAAGUUAGGGGAUCGAAGACGAUCAGAUACCGUCGUAGUCUUAACCAUAAACGGUGCCGACUUGGGAUCGGGCGCUGCUGAUUUUACGGCGCGCUCGGCACCAUUCGAGAAAUCAAA